GAAAUGCGAUAAGAAUGUGAAUUGCAGAAUUCAGUGAAUCAUCGAAUCUUUGAACGCACCUUGCGCUCCUUGGUAUUCCUUGGAGCAUGCCUGUUUGAGUAUCAUGAAAUCUUCAAAGUAAAUCUUUUGUUAACUCAAUUGGUUUCUACUUUGGUAUUGGAGGUCUUUGCAGCUUCACACCUGCUCCUCUUUGUUCAUUAGCUGGAUCUCAGUGUUAUGCUUGGUUCCACUCGGCGUGAUAAGUUAUCUAUCGCUGAGGACACUGUAAAAGGUGGCCAAGGUAAAUGCAGAUGAACCGCUUCUAAUAGUCCAUUGACUUGGACAAUACUUUUAUGAUCUGAUCUCAAAUCAGGUAGGACUACCCGCUGAACUUAAGC
rnacentral:misc_RNA from 1 species